rnacentral:rRNA from 1 species
GACGAACGCUGGAGGCGUGCUUAACACAUGCAAGUCGAACGGUGAAAUGGAGCUUGCUCCAUGGAUUAGUGGCGAACGGGUGAGUAACACGUGAAUAACCUGCCCUUAAUUUUGGAAUAACCCAGGGAAACCUGGGCUAAUACCGGAUAAGUAAACCUGUGGCAUCACAUGGUUUUGGAAAGUUUUUCGAUUAAGGAUGGAUUCGCGGCCUAUCAGCUUGUUGGUGAGGUAAUGGCUCACCAAGGCGACGACGGGUAGCCGGCCUGAGAGGGUGAACGGCCACACUGGGACUGAGACACGGCCCAGACUCCUACGGGAGGCAGCAGUGGGGAAUAUUGCGCAAUGGACGAAAGUCUGACGCAGCGACGCCUCGUGAGGGACGAAGGUCUUCGGAUUGUAAACCUCUUUCAGCAGGGACGAAGCGAAAGUGACGGUACCUGCAGAAGAAGCACCGGCUAACUAUGUGCCAGCCGCCGCCGUAA